rnacentral:rRNA from 1 species
UACGAAGGGGGAGCUAGCGUUGUUCGGAUUUACUGGGCGUAAAGCGCACGUAGGCGGAUCGUUAAGUUGGGGGUGAAAUCCUGGAGCUCAACUCCAGAACUGCCUUCAAUACUGGCGAUCUAGAGUCCGGAAGAGGUGAGUGGAACUCCUAGUGUAGAGGUGGAAUUCGUAGAUAUUAGGAAGAACACCAGUGGCGAAGGCGGCUCACUGGUCCGGUACUGACGCUGAGGUGCGAAAGCGUGGGGAGCAAACAGGG